rnacentral:rRNA from 1 species
CCCGACUGCUAUCGGAUUGAGAUUUAACCAAGCGAGUCGAACGUCCCCCUGUUGCGGGGGGCGUGGCGUACGGCUCAGUAACACGUAGUCAACCUGCCCUGGAGACAAGGACAACCCCGGGAAACUGGGAUUAAUCCUCGAUAGGCCAUCUCAUCUGGAAGGAGAGAUGGCUUAAAGGGGUACGCGGGCUUCUUCCGCGUAUUCGCUCCAGGAUGGGACUGCGUCCGAUCAGGCUGUUGGCGGGGUAAUGGCCCACCAAACCUGUAACCGGUACGGGCCUUGAGAGAGGUGGCCCGGACAUGGACACUGAGAGAAGGGUCCAGGUCCUACGGGGCGCAGCAGGCGCGAAACCUUCUCAAUGCGCGAAAGCGUGACGAGGUUAAUCCGAGUGGCCCCCGCUGAGGGGGUCUUUUGUCAGCUGUAAAUAGGCAGGCGAAUUACGGGACGGCAAGCCUGGUGU